GGUGGGGUUCCGAGCGGCCAAAGGGAGCAGACUGUAAAUCUGCCGUCAUCGACUUCGAAGGUUCGAAUCCUUCCCCCACCACCA
rnacentral:tRNA from 4 species